ensembl:miRNA MIR4501 microRNA 4501
UAUGUGACCUCGGAUGAAUCACUGAAAUAUGUCUGAGCUUCUGUUUCAUCAGAUGUCACAUUUU